AGGAUGAACGCUGGCGGCGUGCCUAACACAUGCAAGUCGAACGGUAACAGGUCUAGUUUACUAGAUGCUGACGAGUGGCGGACGGCUGAGUAACGCGUGGGAACGUGCCCCAAAGUGAGGAAUAAGCACCGGAAACGGUGUCUAAUGCCGCAUAUGAUCUUCGGAUUAAAGAAUUUAUUCGCUUUGGGAGCGGCCCGCGUUAGAUUAGGUAGUUGGUGAGGUAAAGGCUCACCAAGCCCACGAUCUAUAGCUGGUCUGAGAGGAUGACCAGCCAGACUGGAACUGAGACACGGUCCAGACUCCUACGGGAGGCAGCAGUGAGGAAUCUUCCACAAUGGGCGAAAAGCCUGAUGGAGCAACGCCGCGUGCAGGAUGAAGGCCUUGGGUCGUAAACUGCUUUUAUAAGUGAAGAAUACGACGGUAACUUAUAGAAUAAGGAUACGGCUAACUACGUAACCAAGCAGCCGC
rnacentral:rRNA from 1 species